GAUGAACGCUGGCGGCGUGCCUAAUACAUGCAAGUCGAGCGAACGGACGAGAAGCUUGCUUCUCUGAUGUUAGCGGCGGACGGGUGAGUAACACGUGGAUAACCUACCUAUAAGACUGGGAUAACUUCGGGAAACCGGAGCUAAUACCGGAUAAUAUUUUGAACCGCAUGGUUCAAAAGUGAAAGACGGUCUUGCUGUCACUUAUAGAUGGAUCCGCGCUGCAUUAGCUAGUUGGUAAGGUAACGGCUUACCAAGGCAACGAUGCAUAGCCGACGUGAGAGGGUGAUCGCCGACACGGGAACUGAGCCACGGUCCAGACUCCUACGGGAGGCAGCAGUAGGGAAUCUGCCGCAAUGGGCGAAAGCCUGACGGAGCAACCCCGCGUGAGUGAUGAAGGUCUUCGGUUCGUAAAACUCUGUUAUUGGGGAAGAACAGAUGUGGAAGUAAAUGUGCACAUCUUGACGGUACCUAAUCAGAAAGCCACGGCUAACUACGUG
rnacentral:rRNA from 1 species